rnacentral:rRNA from 1 species
GACGAACCGUGCCAACGUUGUUCGGAAUCACUGGGCUUAAAGGGCGCGUAGGCGGUCGAUCACGUCCGGGGUGAAAGCUUUCGGCUCAACCGGAAAAGUGCCUUGGAUACGGGAUCGACUUGAGGGAGGUAGGGGCAGGUGGAACUUCCAGUGGAGCGGUGAAAUGCGUUGAUAUUGGAAGGAACGCCGGUGGCGAAAGCGACCUGCUGGAUCUCUUCUGACGCUGAGGCGCGAAAGCUAGGGGAGCAAACGGG